UCCGGUUGAUCCUGCCAGAGGCCGCUGCUAUCCGGCUGGGACUAAGCCAUGCUAGUCUAGGGGCUUGUACUCCUUCGGGGGUGCAAGCACCGGCGGACGGCUCAGUAACACGUGGACAACCUGCCCUCGGGUGGGGGAUAACCCCGGGAAACUGGGGCUAAUCCCCCAUAGGUGAUGGGUGCUGGAAUGCCCCAUCUCCGAAAGCGCUUAGCGCCCGAGGAUGGGUCUGCGGCGGAUUAGGUAGUUGGUGGGGUAACGGCCCACCAAGCCUAAGAUCCGUACGGGCUGUGGGAGCAGGAGCCCGGAGAUGGACCCUGAGACAAGGGUCCAGGCCCUACGGGGCGCAGCAGGCGCGAAACCUCCGCAAUGCGGGAAACCGCGACGGGGUUAGCCGGAGUGCCCGUGCAUUGCACGGGCUGUCGGGGUGCCUAAACAGCACCCCAUAACAAGGGCCGGGCAAGGCCGGUGGCAGCCGCCGCGGUAAGACCGGCGGCCCGAGUGGCGGCCACUCUUAUUGGGCCUAAAGCGUCCGUAGCCGGCCCAGUAAGUCCCCCGGGAAAUCUGGUCGCUUAACGAUCAGACUUCCGGGGGAUACUGGCUGGGCUAGGGACCGGGAGAGGCCGAGGG
rnacentral:rRNA from 1 species